GUCUUCAUACUUUGUGUUAUAUUUUUUUGUUAGCUCUGAUAUGAUCAAAAUCAUGGUGUUUAUUUAAUUUGUGACUGUUUGAUAGAAAGUUGUUUGUUCUUGUCUCUUCAAUGGAUGGAAAGUAUAAGUUGGCUUACAGCUUUUAAUUGCUUAAAGUAGCAGCACCGAUUAGAUCCUUCUAGUGGGUAGAAGAAUAAAGGAUAAAGCUCUAUUUUAUUUUUUCUAAAUCAAGCCAUUUGAUUUAUCAACUUUCCGGCCAGCUAAAUAAAGUUGCUGGUGAAUUGGAUGCUCACUUUUUUCUCUUUUGCCAUAGAAAACUUUUGUUAUUUUUCUACAAGGUUCCUGCCACCUAAUUAUCUUUUCUGAGAACAAGAUCGACCAUCUUAAUCUCAUUUAAAACCCAUUGUCUCUUAUUGCCUUUAGCAUCUUAUGAUGUAAGCAAGAUUCUAAAUGUCAGCAAGAGUUCGGCUGGAGUCUAACGCAUUGCUGACAAGAUCUUAGGUGACCAUAAGUUAUCCAGAGUCAGGCUUCAAUGUCUAUGGGAAGGAGAAUCCCAUCAAUGGAUGAUGAGGCAGAUAGUUACAGAAGAUUAUUCUUCCGGGAUCGUGGAAACUGGACAGUUGAUAAAGUUGAUGAUGUUGAAUGGUGAAAAAUGAAACUGAUGUUAAAGAAAGAUGAGUGCAUAUGAGCCUAGCUAUUGAAUCUGCAACCAAGAUGAACGUUCAAAUGCAAGUUUGUUAUUUGAAAGGAAAUGAGGUAAAUGUAUUAAAACAAAUAUUACAAUUGUAAAGAAAUCACAACUCCCAUCAAAUGCCACUCAAGCUGCCCUUGGGGGCUAAUAAAUGCUUUUGAUUAUAGCAAUCUUCAUACUUCAAUUCUGGCAACACAUGGUUUUUAUCAUAGCAGCAGGUAAAAUAUGCACCAGUCUUUGCUUAGUGACAAGGCGGCUCUUGUGUUGUUCAAAAGCACUAUAAAAUUUGAUCCAAAUGGGGCGAUGACACUGAGAAGAGGAUGUUGAUGUCUGCAACACAAACUAAUUGGAUCCCUCUUGCCCUUUGGUUCCAAUCUUACUGCCCUUGUCCUAGAGCUCUUCCACAAUCACUUGCAAGGAGUCAUUCCACCUGAAUUUUCCCACCUCCCGCUAGAUGAACAAAAAUUUCUAAUUUUUGAGAGCCGUCUAACUCAUUUUCUGUUUGUUGAACAGAAGUUUUUGGUUGAGAAAAAGCUUGAGCGAGCAGAUUUUCUGUAAACUUGUGCGAUUGCCGUUAAAUUUCUGCGCCUGGAAAUUGCUCAGGAUAUGAAGUGAUUGCCGCAAGACUGAUAUCAACAGCUUCUUCGCCACCCUCGAAAAUUGCACUGGUUUGUUUUUUGGCUGCAUUUGGUUGGCAUAGACCUCGGAGGAACAAUGCCUGAUUUCCAUCGGCUGACUUAAAUUAAUACAUCAAUCCUGAGGUUUACAGGAUCCUGAGGAACAUUUGGACUGGCUUUACUUGUCACAGCUAAGAUUUAUCCUGUUUUUCAUGCGUCUCAAUUAAAAAUACAGAUCAGCAUUCCAUAAUCAACCAGCCGCAAUCGGAUUGUUUAACAGAGGAUACAAAGCUCCACGUUCAUCCCAAUUCAAGUUACAACUUUGGUAAAUGGCAACACCUACCAGCUAGUGAGAACAAGGUGUCAUUGGAUGGGCGGAAUAAUAUUAAAACUAAGGUUUAUGCUUCCCACAAGAAAAGGAGAGUGAGAGGACAAAAGACACAUGAUAGACAUGGACCAAAAAUUAUGGGAGAAAGGUGAAUAGUUGUGGUUAUAGCUAUUUUAAGGAAGUGGGCAGCAAUUAUGAUGAGAAAAUGUGCAGCUGUUAUGUAGAUAGAGUGGACAAGAAAAGAACGGAUGGGAGAUCAUAGAGAACAGGCGAGGGUUGUGAGAUGGGAUUAAUAAAAGUGGUAGAGCUGGAAGAUUUUUUAUAGGAGUGUCUGGUUCGAAUUACAUUGAGAUUAUGAUUAGUGAAAUCCUGAAUUACUUGGUGAA